GUCCCGCCGGUGGACCACGACCCACCACAUCCCCAGCUGCGGGCCACGCCCCAUCAAGUGGCCCCGCCCCGACCCCGCCUACCUCAGGCCCUACCUCGCCAGGGCUCCGCCCAAUGCUUUCUGCCUCUGCAGGUCCAGGCUUCUGUGCGGUGGUAUGAUUAUAGCUCACUGCAGCCUCAAACUCCUGGCCUCAAGUGAUCCUCCCACCUUGGCCUCCCGAAGUGCUGGGACUCCAGGCAUGAGCUACUGCACCUGGCUCCAGAAUUUCUCAAUCAGCAAUCUGCACUUGCUGAACCUGCUCCUUCCCACGCGUGUUUGCUCCCCCACGCCCUGUCUCUGCUGAAAUUGCCCACAACCAAGUCACCACCGAGCUCUGGAUAGGGUCUCACUAUGUUGUCCAGGCUGUUCUGGAACUCCCGGCCUCACAGCAUCCUGCCACCGUGACCUCCCCAAAUGCUAGGAUUACACCAGUGUGAGCCAUCACACCUGGCCUGAAGGUGACUUUUAAACAAAGACCUGGAUUACACAAGAGGAAUAGUCAAGUGGAGAUCUGGGGGAAGAGUGUCCAGUAAGAGAGAACAGUCGGUGCCAACGCCCUGGGGCAGGAGUGAGCCUGGUGUGUUUCAGGCACAGAGGCUGACUGACCACACCACGGACGGCUUGGGAACCUCUGUGACCUGCACGUACACUCCAGAUGAGUCCCUGGAACUAGAAUGUCUGAAGUUACCGGAAAACCACAAAAGGAGAGGAAAUGAUCAACCUCUGGGGUGACUAAUUAACUCUGAGACAUUCUUCUUUUGUUCCUUACUCCCACCUCAACUGAUAAGGAAAUUGGACUUUGUUAGUGACUUUGGGCAACCUCGUGACUCCAGACCCCGUGACCCCCUCCCAGCUUGCAAAAACCGCUCUGAAAUGUAACUUUUAUAACUUUCCACUGCCUACCCCAAACCUAUAAAACCAAUUCCUAUCCCACUGCCCUCCGCUGACUCUUUUCAGACUCAGCCCACCUGAACCCAGGUGAAUAAACAGCCAUGUUGCUCAUACAAAGCCUGUUUAGGGGUCUCUUCAUUCAGAGCAUGUGUUUUAACAUUGAUGAAGGUGGGACUAUCCCACUGGACUGGGGUGAGACCAAGGGCACACACCUCCCUUACAUAGUCAAUCCCGACUCUCCACAUGUGGUCUUGAGAGGAGAAAAUGCAGGGGCUGGGGCCGCUAAAAGAUAGAGAAGCAGGCCAGGUGUGGUGACUCACACCUGUAAUCCCAGCACCUUGGAGAGCCGAGGCAGGAGAUUUACUUGAGCCCAGGAGUUCAAGACCAGCCUUGGCAACAUGGCAAGACCCACACCCGCCCCGUCUCUACAAAAAAAAAAUUAGCUACACAUGGUGGUGUGUGCCUGUAGUCCCAGUUACUCGGGAGGCUGAUGUCAGAAUUGCUUGAGCCCAGGAGUUUGAGGCUGUGGUAAGCCAUGAUCAUGCCACUUGUGGAAAGUAGAAAAGUUCGUUUUUAAAGUUUCCUUUCUUGUUCACUUUGUUAAGACGUAUCUGUGCUGGACGUGCUCACAGGCAUGUCCCAUCUCUCCAUGGCUUUUACCUGUUUAGAAAAGUUUUAAGUUGUUAGCCAAUCAGGUUUUAGUUUAGAUUGUGAGGUCUGGCUCCAGCCAACAGAGAUCAGACAUCGCAGUGAGGACGACCCCAAAUGUGUAAGGGAUAAAUGUGUCUGGUUGAUUGUACUCUCAUGACAGAAAGGCUAGCGAGGGUACCCUUCCUGCAGUCCAGGAAGUAAAAAUUGCAUUGC